GAAAGCGAACCAAUCGCUAGAGAAAGAGAUCGACCACCAUCGCCAGUGCACUGGAGCCACCGUUGACGCUUAAAAGGUAAAAGUUUUUCCCCUUCUACUCGAAAUUGGUUGAGCUGGAAAUCGCGAGCGAAGCUCGGUUGAGCCGUUGCAGUUGUAACCCGAAAACCCCUCCGAUGAGCCCCUUCUCGUUUUCCAUUUCCCUCGAUUUUUGGACCGUCGUGUUUCUCGUUUCAAUCUACUGCAAGUUAGCCGAAGAGAAGCCCCGACCGCAAGAGAGGAACGGUGGAGCCACCGCAUCGAAAAAUCCAUCCGCUGGUAGGGUAUCAGUUUUUCCCUUUUCUAAUUAGUAAAGGCUCCC
rnacentral:lncRNA from 1 species